CGCACUCAAAAUUCUUUGUUUUUUUUAAGUGCAUACAUGUGGUGCAUGCAUGGGCUGUGACACCCUCCCGCCACCUCGGCCCCAGGUGUUGAGGCCAGCCACUACUCUCCCACGGCCAGCCUGGCUCAGGGUUUUGUUUACAAUGGCCUCCUUCACCAUGCCCUAGGUUGGAAAGGGGUGGUUUUCUGUCCACCUCCUUCCCCAGGGCCGGGAGAGCACUGGGAUCUCUACCUCCAUCAGCAGCAUCCUCUCCCCAGCAGCUCGGAGAAAGCAAUGACCAGACUCCGGCCUGCUUUCAUCUUGGAGGUUCACAUGGAUGCUGAGAAUUAACCAUCCUGGAGUGUGGGGUAGUGAAAAAGCCCAUUUCCCUAGGCAGGUUCUCACCCAGGUCCUGUUGCAAAGGGACGGGGAAGACCGUGCCCAGCCUAAAUCCACCUGAAGGGCAAACUGGAGCUGGAGUGGGGGAAAAAAAGCUUCCAUGACUGCUCUUCCCUCAAGCAAAGCAAGCAGCUGGCACCUGAGGACUAGGGCAUGGUGUCAAAGGGUCUCUGCUCUGAGAGACAUGGGAUGAGACAUUGAGACUGUGAUACUCUCUGGCCCAGAAAGGGGACUGACUUGUGGGAGGUGAUCUGCCUUCAGUCUGGGCAGUAACAUGGAGGGCUGCAGAAGAGCAGCUGGUCAGUUCAUCACCUCCUUUUCACAGCCCCGCUGCCUUCAAUCAGCCUGGGACAGGGGAGGGGAAGGGAUGAUCGGAAACUCUGCUACACCUGGGGAGGGGAGGGAGUUUUCCAUUCAGUCUCUUCUCUUGAUGCAUCUUUGACUCUGCCACGCAUGGGGACGUUCCCCUGAGGGGAGAGGAGCAAUAACAGGCUGAUGGAGGAGCCAGCACUGGCAGGACUGGCCACUGCCCAGGGCUUUGCUUCUCCACCUCCUUGAGAUUUCAGGUGGAGCCUGACAAGGCUCGGCAGCACCCUCAGCCAGUGGGGCACACAGGUGCCAAGAACCAGCCAAGCAGGAUCUACCAUCCCGGCCAAACGCAGACCCGCGCGCACUGUGCCAAGCAAAACAGCAUGCCACGGCUCCUCGUGGUGUCCUGCCCCAGUGGGGAAGGGAGGAGGUCGUGCAUCCUGUCCCGGUGGAGACGGAGAGGCCAGGCCGUAGCCCGAGCCAGCUCUUCCACUGGCUUGCAGAAUCUUCUUCCCUUGUCCAGGCCUUGUAUGGGGCUGCAGACAAGAAUGGAGCAUCGCCACAGGACUGGCGUGAGGGAGCCAGGCGACAAGUGCUAGGAAAUAGCAUCCCCUGACUCCUCUUCUGAAGUGCAGGCUGCUGCCACCACCUCACUAAACAGCCCAGGCCUGAGAUUUCCACAGGCCUCAAAACCUGGUCUCGUUUUCUCCCUGCUCUGCUAGUGUCAGUGCUGUUCGUUGAUGUGAUGUUGGCAGGGAGGCCAGGCAUCCAAGAGCUGUCUGCCCUGCGGGCAGGACCAGACCUUUGCCUUCCCUUUGUAGAGCAGAGGCAGAGGGGCUAAGGAGGGGAAGGUUCUACCUUGUUCUAGUUUUGUGUUACUCAGCAGAAGGAAAAGGUUAUAACGUUGUUAAUUGACAGGAUUUUACCCCUUUAUUCCAUAGCAGUGUGGUGCUAGAAGACCCAAAAUGCAGCCAAAGCCGCAUUGACUGCAUUUAUAGCCAACAUUUUCAGGAGGUAGAAAAGAUUUCGGAGAAACGGGACUGCCUUCCUAAUUUCAGGGGAUGUUAGUGUUGUUUCAGGCAGCUAGGCCAGUUCUGUAUGGGAUGCAGCAGCCUCGGAGCUCUCCGAUAACUGAACAGGUGAUAAUGACAGCUGGACAGUCGCUGAAAUUAGGGGAGUUUCAGGCGAUUUGUAAUGAAAGCUGGAGCAUGUCGCCUGUACGCCAUAUCUAAAUUCAGCCUUGGUUUGGUAGGGACCCAGAACGACCAUCUGAUUGCUGUGCGGAGAGCUAAAUGAGAGUGGAUCUCAGCUCUAUUUCUAGAUCCUGAGCCAAGUUGCAGGGUGAUGCAUGGAAAGACUUGUUGGUUUCAGAGGACUCUGGCUCAGUGCUGGCAGGGGACAGGUGUCUGCAUUGCUGACGACUCAACCAGGGUUAUUGCUGGCAGAGCAUUCAGCGACAGUCGGCACGAAGGCUGAUUGUCCUCCUCUGGGGACAUGGCUCCAUCAGGACCUACCCCAUUGCUGUCCAGACUGCAUCGCUUCUGUUGGACUUCCAACAUCAUGGCCUUCGGCUUAGCACCUUUCACCUGCUGUUCAUUCACCCCCGUUUGUUAAGCACAAGAAGUUGAAAUAUCAGUCAUGUUUUGGGUGCUGAUGCCCGAGUGAAAAUUUCCCACGCCAUCUCCCAGGCUUCAUCGUCUGCCUUCCACACACAACAUGCUUAGUUGGAAAUGUCCUUCAGACUUGUCACAGCAUCAGUUUCCAUCAUCACGGGCCUUUCCUACACCUAAGGAGGCGGAUGAAUGCAGCAGAAAUGCCUCCGAUUUGUGCUGGCCGUGGUGGUGCAGUGUUGCAGCCUGCCCGAACUUCUCCAUAUUUCUCACGUAUGGCAGCUUCAUCUGCUGCUCCCAGGGGUAGAGAAUGAGGCCAGGCAGUCAAAAGGAAUCGAAGAUGGGGAACAUUUGGCCUAAAGAAGGAUGAGUUUUGCACGUGUCAUAGCUGUGUAAAGUUGAGCUGCUGCCUCUGAAGGUCCAGGUGUUUUGGUGAGUCCCUUCCCCCUCUUCUGCAAGCUGAAGGUGGAAACGGGGUAGCUUGUUUUAGAUCUGGUUGUGUGGCUACCUCAGAGAAGCAAAAUGCUAGGGCAAGGCCAGCACCGCAGACCUCAUCCCUCCUCUUUUUUUAUUCUCUCUCUUUGUAUUAACUUCUACGUGUGUCCAGCUUCCAGAAAUACAGUUGUCUCCUGCCUGAAGGAUUCUGAUGCUGCCGUCUCACGUGGGAAGCACAGGAGCAGAGGUUGAAAGCGGAGUCCUUCGUGCUAUUUCAAAGGGAACCGCGUGCCUCCUAGAUCAGACCAAGGUUGGCCGUCCCUGCCUUAAAACAAGCGCAGUACGUGAUAUUGCCGCUGUUUCACUCUGAGGUGCUACGAUCAUUUCAGUUUCUGACGUGAUGGAGAUGUUCAAUAGUGUUGUGCCCCACAGUUUUACUGCUGUAUCCCCUUCCCCGUCACCACUACCACUGUCCCUUCAUUUCCUGUAUUAUCUGAUGUUUGGUGAAUAGCAAUACCUGUGUGUCAAGGCAGGUCAGCCGUGAUGCUGCAAUCCUCCAUGCUACCGUAACCCAUCGUUGCCAGUCUGAUGUGACCACCGAGUCCCUGGCGAGGGAGGGCUCUCCCCAAACCACUUCCAUCACCCAUCCUUUCCUAGCUCAUCUCAGUGGAAAGGCAUCUCCUGUGCAGUUGCUGAGGCCCUAAAUAUCGUGGGACGUUCUGCAGCGCUGCCUGGCCUUGGCGCGCGGCCUGCGAGGCUGGGGACAGCAGAGGGGAAGGGGCUUCGUUGCAUAUUGAGGUCACAAAGCUCACUUGAAUUAAAGACCUUGGGGAAACUAUAGGUCAUGUAACCUACUUCUCCAAAAACCAACUUGAAGCUCCCUCUUUCUUGUAUGGCCUCCAGUGUUGUCUCCCUCCGUUUAGGUUUUUAUUCUGUUGAUUUAAGUGGUAACUAUGUGCCUUUCCUGCUCAGGACCUGUUACAAACAACCUUUCGGCUUUCAUUUGUGUCUAACAUUAUCCUCCCCCCUCCUGUCAUACUAUUAAACAUGAACAUAUUGCAUGGAAUACAAUUCAAUAAAAAGUGUGGCUUAACCAA